UUCAAAAUGGCUGACAUUUGCUGGCUGCUGCUCUACGUCAACUUUUAAGCAUGUUUUCAUGUAAAUAAGGGUAUGACUGCAACUAAUAAUGAAUUGUAAAACUAUUUACGGAUAAGUGCUAUCGAUUUAACUAAUAAUAGAACUUUUAUGAAGUUAUUUAUGAAGCAAUCAGCCUUCGAUGUUCGUACAUAGAACUUUCGUACCCAGUGUCAGGCAAGAUCAAAAAUUACAACAAGGAACAAUUUCAACAAAUGUCUGGAUACCACAAUAUGACUGUAACACGUGAAUUGAAGUCAGACACCUUACUGUACCACCAUGCAACAGUAUCAUCUAUCUUCCGUAACCGCCGAACCCCUUUCGGUGACGUAGACGUUGUUCGUCAGUAUAUAGAUAAUUUUAGUGAUAGAGAAGCCCUUUUUUAUGGUUUGGCAGAUUCCCUAGAGAGCUGCAAUGUGAGAAGUGACAGUAAUGCAGAAUACCUACAGACCUUGAAGAGAAAUGAAGAGAUACAGCGCUAAAUUGUUCAACAUGGUGUGUGUGGGAAACAUAGUGGACAGAAAGCAUGUGACAAAAAAUGAAAAGAAAAGGUGGUGUUGAAUGGUAUGCAGUGAGUGCAAGUCAUCUGAAGUCGGGGACCAUCGUAUUGCAGCAUUCCAGAAAGUAGUCUACAGAAUAAAUACCAUACUUUCGUUUUCAAGAAAACAUGCAAAUAUAAAGUGUGAAGUAACAGUAACACAGAAUGGCUGGAGACCAUUAACUUAAAAACUGAAGAGAUGCAGGUCUUUGUUCUAUAUGGUGAUUGAUGGACCCAUGGUGCAGAUUUGAAUCAAUAAGGUGUGAAGUUACAGAAAAGCAGAAUAGCUACAGACCAUGAAAUUUAGAAAAUGAAGAGAUGCAUGUCUCUGUUCAGCAUGGUGUAUAUGGGAAACAUUGUUGGUCACAGACCUCUGUUCAGCAUGGUGUAUAUGGGAAACAUUGUGGGUCACAGGCCUCUGUUCAGCGUGGUGUAUAUGGGAAACAUUGUGGGUCACAGACAUGAAAUGAUUUGUGUGAAGUAACAGUUAAGCAGAAUGGCUACAGACAAUUAGUUCAGAAUUGAAGAAGAGAUGCAGGUCUUUGUUCUGUAUGGUGUAUGAGGGAACCAUGGUGGAAAUUUGGAUUUCAUGGCAGUCAUAGAAAUAUCUAAUAAGUCUGUUGGACAGUGAUGUGUGUACCAGUCUGUCAGACUAUUAUGUGUCUGUCCAGUCGAAAAAUUCGCAGUGGAUGCUUAGUUUCUCACAUAAUUUGGCAGAAUUUUCACACAAGACAGAUUGCAAAAGACUUUAGUACUCAAAACCCUGAAAUGAGAGCGCUUGAACAAUGUGAAGUUUGUCGCAUAGAAGGGGAUUGACCACCUUUGUGUAUAUAAGUCUACAACUUCUCAGAUUUGACCGAAGACAAUUGUUUGGUGUUGUGGAUGGAUAUGGUUUGGCCACAGGCUUUCCAGUCACACAGAAGAUACUGGUUCUAUCACAAGAAGGGUCACUUCAAUUGAUAGUAGUCACCGGAAAAAUUAGGAGAACCAAUUGUAGAUUCUCAAGUUGAAAUUUAUUAAGAGAAAUAUAUGAGGUAGGGCAGUUUUCCAUAAGCACAACAAGAAGUUCACAUUUGUUGCACAGAUUUGUGUCUCACAUGUAUGGAGUUGAAGGAAUAGUUACAGGAAAAGGAGAAAUAUAUGAGGUAGGGCAGUUUUCCAUAAACGCAACAAGAAGUUCACAUUUGUUGCACAGAUUUGUGUCUCUCAUGUGUGGAGUUGAAGGAAUUGUUAUAGGAAAAGUCUACAGAAUAUGUAAGGAUAUGGAUGGUUAGUUUCUGCAGCAAAGAGUAUCAAAGAAGCCAAUGUUGCCAACGUUACAGAUAGUGAACCCAGCAUAAAGAUGUAUUACAUCACAACGUUAUAUUUUACAUUUACGUCACUGACGUCAAUAGAAUUCGGAAACGUGUUACCAAAUAACAACGGCGAAAAAAUAUUCUCAAUAUUCGCUGUUGUGCUUGGAUCACUGCCGAGUGUAAACGGUGAGAGUGUAUCAUGAGACAGAUGAGUAGCACGAGAAAAUGAAGAGUACUAAAGAAACCAAAAUAUUCAUCAUCAUCCGAAGAAUCUUGCAAACUGAUUGCACGAGUUCUUCCUACACACCUGGGCGUACACUAAUGGAAUUGACAUGAACAUGAUAGCCAAACAUCUUCCCGAGGAUUCCAUGUUGUAACAUUCUGAUAGAAAGAUGUACCUGUUGUGCAAAGGGGAUAAGCUUGCUUGGUGACAGGAAAAAGAAAAGGAAAAUGGCCCCAGGAAAGACAAGCUACAGUAGAUACAAGAUGCUAAGGACAAGAAUGUCUGUCAUUCAUGGAAACAUCAGAGUUCAGCUGGUUCUUGAAACAGCAAUAAAAUGAGCAGGUUUCAAAAGUUGCCCUUUGGCAGUCAGAGGUUAAAAUGACUUGGAACAGUCAAACUAAACAAAACAUUGCAGUAAUACAACAUGAAGGAGAAAACAGCCCAGGUUUCAUAUACCGCCUCACCUUCUGGAAAACCAGGCCAGUUGAAACCAGAGACUACCGAUACAUUUU
rnacentral:misc_RNA from 1 species